GAGUAACCACUAGAUCAUCUUCUCCAGUUACUUUAUCAGAAACAGCCUCCAGCUCCGGAGCCCCACCCUCUUCAACCUUCUUGUUCUCUUCGGUUGUUUUCUCAGAAACAGCUUCCGGUUCCGGAGAUAACAAUGAAGCAGUGUCAGGUGUACCAGCCUCGUCCGAAACUUUCUCAUCAGCUCCAACCUCCAAACUCGAUUUCUCCUCCUUAUCAGCUCCACCAGCAAUACCUUUAUCUGAAUCUCCAGACACAGCCUCUGGUGAGGUAGCAACCUCCUUACUGGCGGAUGCAGCGACAAUAGAAGCAUAGGUUUUUCCUGUUAACAAAUACAACCGAUUAAAACUCUGUUUCCAAAUACAAGAUUCAAUCUUACUUAAACAAGACAUAAACGAUGAAGACAAAAACAAACCUGACUGCUCAUUGUCUUCAAAAUCCUCUUCAACCUUCUUGCUCUCUUCUUUGGUAGCCUCUACAUCAUCUUCUCCUGUUGUUUUAUCAGAGACAGCCUCUUCAACCUUCUUGUUCUCUUCUUCAGUAACCCCUACACCAUCUUCUCCUGUUGUUUUCUCAGAAACAGCGUCUUCAACCUUCUUGUUCUCUUCUUCGGUAACCCCUACAGUUUUCUGCUCCGGAGAUAACAAUGAAGCAGUCUCGGGUGAAGCAGCCUCGUUGGAAACUUUCUCAUCAGCUCCAACCUCCAAACUCGACUUCUCCUCCUCCUUAUCAGCUCCACCAACAAUCCCAUCCGUGGAAGCCUGUUUCUCACCACCAUCAAAACUCCCAUUCUCAAGCCUACUCUCGCCAUCCUCUUCAACAUCAUCCUUCUUCUCCUCUUCUCCAGUUGUUUUCUCAGAAACAGCUUCAGGCUUCGAUACAGCAGUCUCAGGUGAACCAGCUUCAUCGGAAACUUCACCAUCGGCUUCAACCCCUACAUCAUCUCCUCCGAUUGUUUUCUCAGAAACAACCUCCUUCUCCGGAGAUACCGAUGAAGCAGUUUCAGCCUCGUCUCCAACCUUCUCAUCAGCUCCAACCUC
rnacentral:lncRNA from 1 species